rnacentral:lncRNA from 1 species
AUGGAGGGAUGUGGGAUGUCAGUUCUCAGACCAGGGAUCGCACUCGGGCCACUGCAGUGAAAGUGCCAAGUCCUAUCCACUGGGCCACCAGGGAACUCCUAAUUUAUCUAACUCANAUUUAUUUAUUUUUGCUUUUUAGAGCCGCACCCGUGGCAUAUGGAAGUUCCCAGACUAGGGGUCGAAUCAGAGCUACAGCUGCCUGCCUUCGCCACAGUCACAGCAACACGGGAUCCGACCCAUACCUGUGACCUACAUACACCACAGCUCACAGCCAAUGCCAGAUCCCUGACCGACUGGGCGAGGCCAGGGAUCAAACCCGCAUCCUCAUGGACGCUAGUCGGGUUCGUUAACUGCUGAGCCACAACAGGAACUCCCACGUUCCAUUUAUUAAGCUGCAUCCAGCCCUGUGAUAGAAGUAGAACUCUGCCCAGUCACCAAAAGAGGCCUCAGCAGGGGGUGUUUUGCCCAGUUUUACUCAGCGGGUAGAGAGUGGAUCUGAUUAGGAACUUGGGCCAUGCCUCUUAACUCUGCCUCUCCCAGAGUCUCCUAAUUCUGAAAGACUCCUUCCAGAGGCACACCACCACCGACAAGCCCCCAGUGCAAAGUAACAUCUAGAAGCAGAGAGGGCCCUUUGGGAUGCAGCGGGAUUAAGAGCUGUGUGACUAAGCAAGCUGUCAAACACGUGAAGUCAAGGACUCGGUUGUACCAAGAUACAGAAGAGCAGUUACAGAGAAUCCCCCAGUUCUUCUCCCAGUCUGAGCAAGUGCGCUUCAGGAAGGGACUAUUAUUUUUUCUUUCUUCUUGUCUUUCCAGGGCCGCACCUGCGGCACAUGGAGGUUUUCAAGCUAGGGGUCUAAUCGGAGGUGUAGCCGCCAGCCUACGCCAGAGCCGCAGCAACACCAGAUCUGAGCCUCCUCUGUGACCUACACCACAGCUUGUGGCAACACCAGAUCUUCAACCCACUCAGCGAGGCCAAGGAUCGAACCCGCAACCUCAUGGUUCCCAGUCGGACUCGUUAACCAUUGAGCCACGACAGGAACUCCAGGACCAUUGUUUUUUCUGAGCUCUCCUGGUUUCUCCUGCUUGUUGAUGUCCUAGUAAAAUGCAAUCUCAUGGUUGGCCUAUCAGGUACCAUCAAGAACCGCUCUUAGUUUAGAAAUGCUGGGCCUCUGGAAGCCUUGGAUGAGAGGCGGUCUGUAUCAUAGGCAUUCGCCCACCUCUGCAAAGCGGAAGGAGAAACAUUCCGUCUGCCAUUGAGUGACGAGACACAGAUUCUUGGUGCCUGCCCACACACCCUGCCCUUCAAAACAAGCCUGCCAAUCAACCAGGGGCCCCCUGGCUCUCAACACCCCGGCCUAGACUCAGCCUCAGCAUCCUUGUCCACUGGACUGUGAUGCUUGGCAUCCAUGGUGACACUGAGUAGCCACUUUUGUCGUAUAAAAACACUAGUAAAGACGAGCUGGCUACUUCCUGUCACUUUUGUGAAAGAUAAUGUAGGCAAACCUGGUAGAAUUUCCACCUGCUUCUUCAAGCUCAAAUACUAGAAUCAAACGUCUUCCAGACAUUGUAAUCAAUUAAUACUGUGAUACAGCUGGUCAAAUUACUCUUUUUAAUGUGCGUACGCUUAAUUACCAUCCACUUUUACAUCUAAAAAAUUCACUCUAAGUUGAGUGUUUCUAUCAAGAUGUUGGCUCUCUCCAGCACAGUCCAUUAGAUUGAUAAAAAUCCAUUUUAAAAUUUAGAGUCUGGCCCAGAAAUCCCACACCUGGGAAUCCAUCCCAAUGAAAUAAAAGCAUCCGUCUGGACAUCGAAUAAAGAUGCUUAGUGUAUCACUCUGGGUGGCCGGGUGGGAGUGUGGGAAGAAACCCCUGGAGGCUAAAUGGAUGCCCCUCUGACACGUUCAAGAUGGGGCAGGACUGGGUAAAUCAUGGUACAUCCACACCAGGGACUAUCAGGCCUCAGCGGGAUGCAAAAAGACAGACAACGAGCAGUACGCAUAAAAUGAUUCCAUGUUGUACCAAGCACAACUACCCCAAAGAAAAAGCUUUUAUAUUUAUAUAUGAAAAAUUUUGAAGGAAACAGAUUAGAUUGUUGGCAUGUUGCACCUCACAAGGAGAGGUUGACUGGAGGGGAGGGGUAAAGUGACAGAGGGUGGCACUAGGCCGAAAUGGGAUGGACAUGCUCUAAGAUGAACCUUACCAGAAGGUGCACUGACUCACACCAAGAAGGAGCCCAGCAAAGAGCCGGGCGGGCCUCACCCUGUCUGAGGCGUUACGGAGGCAUCUUCAUACAGAAGGACUUCCAUCCUCACACCUCAGAGAGGCCUGGCGUAUCACGGUCCCCAUUAUACGAGUGACAGACAGGAGGCUCAGGGACCACACAGCUGAUAGAGAGAGCCCAUCAGCCCUGCUUCAAAAACGACACGCCUUUCUACAAUCUAACUAGUCUAGGAGAUUAAACGAGGGGGUAAAAAAACUAAGCCAAAAUGAGUCUUACCAAUUUGGGAGAAAUCUAGCAGGGAAAACGGGCCAAAGGCAUCUUUGCAGGCGUUCCGCGGGGCACGUGCCACCUUUUCCCCCACUGGAGGAGCACAGCUGUGACCCACAGGGCCUGGGGGGCGCCACUCAGCACAGGGGCAGCGGCAGACAUGCCCUUCCUCCAGUCCCACCUGGAAGCCAAGGCCGUCACAGGAAGCGGGCACCUCUUUUCACCAGAACCCCUUUCCCUGAGCAGUCGGGAUUCACAUCACUCUCUGGAAGGUGAGCUGUGGCGGGGGCGCCGGGGGAGGGGGCGCAGGCACCUGUCGGGCGUGGGGGCUUCCGUGCCCGGGGCCCAGCACUCUGCCUCACUCACAGCAGCUGGUGACCUAUAACCUCUCUUAAAUGAGUGAAUUCGGGUGCUGGGUAAAUAUGCUGCUCAUCCUUGUGUAAAACGGGGAGGAAGCUACCCCCGAGGGAAUUCUGUGUUUUGGAUAAAGAUAACGUUCACGGUAACAAUAAAACCGGCAAAAACAGUCAAUGGCCGCAUAUCAAGGUCCUAUUCAAGAGGCACUUGCUAGACCCUUAACGUACACAGCGCGUGGGAAUCUCACAGGAACACUGCACCGCGCGGGAACGUGGGCGCCUGUGCAGCAGGAGGACCCGGCCAGCCAGGCGGGCGUCACAUGGAAACUCUGCGCCGGUCGUUCCUCUGGCUUCACGCCGCUCCGCGCUCUGCAAACAUGCAUGCUCACACCCUGAGAAACACGAGCACAGGGGAGCUUCAGGACGGCACUGACAGGCGGGCUCUCGGAUCUGCAAGGGGCAAAACACGGUCUGUAUGACAUCCUUGCUAUUUUUUGUCUUUUAAGGGCUGCACCCAUGGCAAAUGGAAGUUCCCAGGCUAGGGGUCAAAUCGGAGCUGCACCUGCUGGCCUGCACCUCAGCCACAGCCACAGGGGAUCCAAGCCGUGUCUGUGACCUACACCACAGCUCACAGCAACACCCAAUCCUUAACCCACCGAGCGAGGCCAGGGAUCGAACCUGUGUCCUCAUGGAUCCUAGUCAGAUUCGUCUCCUCUGAGCCACGACGGGAACUCCAUGCAGCUCCACGGCAGGACUCGGGUUUGCUGUUCUCGCGUCGGUCCCGCCCUCUACUCGACACUGAGCCUUCUCCGGCCUGAGUGCCCUCACUUCCAACACAUGAGCCUCAUGCAGAGGGCUGAGGACGCUUGACGGAUGCGUUCGAGCAGAGGGCUGUGGCAGUUUCCGCCCUUCUCAGACCACAGCAUGACAGUUACAGAAUUCGAAGCCAUUUGUAUCCCCCGCAGAAUCCCACAUAACUCAGCAGACACUCAUUACGAUGCCAUAAUGAUAUCACGCGGCCAUAAAUACAUAUGCUAAGAGUCAAACAAGACAUUCAUAUUUAAACGUAGCUGGAAAUAAUUUCAAUCCUGGCGAUUUUCUAUUGCUCAUUCUAUUACUUUUCUGUGGACGCUUAAAAUGUUAAAACCAAGAAGAAAGAGGCGGGGUGUGUGCGUCACAGCUUCUCCUUUAGCAAGAACAGGAAUCUGGGUAAUCAAGUUCUGUCUGAUAAAUAUUUUGUUUGAGGAAAAGGUAAUUUAAUAAUAGAUGAGAAGCCCCCUGAUAUGUCAAUUUCAGGAGAAUCAUUCAUGCUGCCAUAAAUGCAGUCCAAGAUUUUAAUAUUCUGAGAUAUCAGCUUCGUAUUUGAAGGGUGGGAGCCCUGAUUUCAUAAAUAAGAAACGCCUGUAAGACUUUUUCAUAAAACUUUUAAAAAAUACAUAAGGCAAACAAAUAAUACAGUUCAAAUUAAAACCACUUCCAAGUCACCAUUCCUAAAGAGGAGGAAAAAUGCCUUUGCAGGAACUAGAUCCAAGCCGCCAGAAGGGAGCCAAUCGCUCAGAUAACGUGACAGCAAUCACGACAACGCUGCUCUUUGCCUUAGACUCCUCAAGUGCAGACGGAAAGACACAGUUUGUCUUUGGCCUCCAUGAUGUAUCCGUUAACAGCUCUCUUCCCAUAGUAUUCAGACACCUUACAACGGAUUUUUGAAUUAUUUAAGUGGAAGUAGCAUUAGAAAAUCCUCAUGUUUAAAUGAUGCUAAAUAAGUCUUCUUUCAGCUGGACUUCUGCUUGUGCAAAAACAUAUUUUCUGGAGGUAUGUAGGAAGGACUCCAAAGAGAAGACAGCACGUGUGCCAAGUGCACACCAGUGUGUGGGGAGUAAGAGUGUACAGACAAGCCACGGGUGCAAGACGUUCUCGAUAUCUGGACGUCCUAGAGGGAAUUUUAGUUCGUACAUUUACAGAGAUGAUGUCAAUUUUCUAAAAUGCUUCCAAAGGUCCAGAAAGCUCUGAACAGGAGAAUUUACAAUGGAUGGGAGUCCAACUGCAAUAAAUCAUGGAAUACCUAUACUAUGGAAUAUUACACAGCUAUGAGAAGAAAUGAGUUUGCUCUCCCAUCGAGUGACCAGAGGGAUGCCCGUGAUGGAUUAUUGGUCAGGGAGAUAAGCACGCAACGAGCAGUGCACCGUGCAGACACCGGGCAGUAUUCUUGUGAAAGCAAACAGAGAACCUUCCCUGUAUUUGCCAAGGAUGUCCCUUCAUGGGCAGAAGAGUCUGCAGACAGUGAGAAGGGCUCCUGGCAGGCUGUCGGCUGGGGGGCUGGGGCGCUGGCAGCCGGGGGACUGCAGAAGAAAAGAGGGGUAUCAUGAACUCUGUUCUGUGUUACACACUGGUGUGCUUUCACCGACAGUGGUGAGCACACACUACCUUUUAAUGUAUAGGAAAAUAAUAAUUGCAGGGGGUAGGAAAGAAAGGAGAUGGAGGGGAAGAAAGGAGACCAAAGUGGGGAGAUAGAGAGAGAGAGACAGACCAACAGACCUAACAAAACAAAAAAUCCCUGCUGGCCAAAGAUGGCUCACUGUCAGUCUUUCUACUUUGCCAGGAUGCCAAGCUCAGGAAGCUUUACCCUUUACUCUUUCGUGUUUUUUUUUUCCUCAAGUGAAUGCACGGACGCAUUUGGUAGAGGACCCACUGCCCUCUGCAGAGCCACCUUUACAGAAGAAACCUGUCACUAUGCUGAGCUUGCAGUCUUGCGGGGGCAGGUGCAGAGGGUGCUGCUCGGGACAGGGGAGGGACCACCAUGUGAUCAAGCUGAUGGGGCUCCCGCUUGACCUAAGUGCUUCCUGGUCUGGUCAGAGAUGGGGACCUGAACCCACCUGGUCCCCUCCGUGGUAUUCCAAGGAAAAGUCCACAGAGGAUGUGCCUCUCGCCCACCUCUGCCCAGAGGUGCUUCCAGGGAAAGGAAAGAUCUCAAGGCCAAAGGAAUCACUAAGAAAUAAAUGGAAAAAGCUGGUGUUUGAUCUUAGUGUUGCUUUCAAAUGCAAAUACAAUUCCAUUAACUCAAGAAGUGUUUAUGGAGCCCCAACUAUGCCCUAGCCUUAUGCUUAGGAAGAAGUUAUAGUAUCUUAAAUUUCCCCAUGCCAUUUGAGGGCUCCCCCCCCCCGUUACAAAAGUGACAAAUUCAUUUCAGAAAAUGGUCAACUCUAGGAAAAUAGUUUUUAAAAUGACAAAAUGCCUUUCAUGUCCCAAACACAUCCAAUGGCCAUCGUGUUACAUGAUAUUUUCCCAGCACUGGCAUGGGGAGUGGCACAUAAUCAAUACCUCAUCAAUAGUUCUUGAGAAAAGCACAGCAGGCAGCCAGGCAGCUAACUUAUAGUAAUAUCAUUUACGCAAGCCCAUUUCAGACGUUUGUAUCACAAGGAAAGCACCCUGUACAUACUGUUUCUUAACCUACUCAUGCCACUUAAUAAUAGAUACCAAGCCUCUUGCCAGCAUUAAACACGUUUUAAAUGCCUGGUCCCGGGUGUCCAUGGUAACUGGCAAGGGUG